UUUUCUGACAAUUAAACACCGUUAUAAGUACAUUUUAGCAUGCAUUUCCCUAUUUUAAUCAUUUAAGUCCUCAUACAAUUCCAAUAAUUGAAAUAAUAGUUUACGAACGAUAUUUUUCUGCUACACCCAAGCAAGUCUUUAAUUAUAAUUCAUAUGAUUACAAAGUAAAGCUUCUAAAAACAAAAAGUAGUCAUUAUCUUGAAUACUAGAUGAUUCAAAGCUCCAAAAUAUUCUGAAACUAAACACUUUCGAACACGUUCAAUCACAAAAUAUCGUCGACUCGUUCUCACCAAAAGCGGCCUACAAAAGAAAUGUAUAAAUUGAAUUAGUAUCCCAUUUAGGAACACUAACACCAAUUAUCAUGAACAGAAGGCAUUAUGCAAAACCAACUGAUAUAAAUCACCACUGAUAUAACAGUGUGCUGCUUGUAUGGCAAUUUCAUGAAUCAGUUUAUAACUUUACAAACAUGAAUUGGUUACAUUAACACAAAACCAAAAUGGAAAAAGUAGUCAUAAGACCAUCAUCCUCUCACCCACAAAACCCUAUUCGCCCCUCCAAUUCAAUUUCGGUGGAAUUCAAUUUUGUGAGUUCUCUGAGGGUUUUUAUUUUUAUUUUUUUAUUUUACAUAUAUUAAAUUAAAUGAGUAAAUGGAUAUCCGUUAUAACCACGGAUAAUACCUAUUAACCAAUGGAUACCCGUUAUAACCACAAAUAAUACAUAUAACCGUCCAUUUAAAUUUCACGGAUAAACGGUUAUAUCCAUAACCGUUUAUUUGUCUAAACGGUUACCCAUAACCGUAACUGCAAACUUUAAAUGGACGGGUAACCGCGGUAACCCAAACCCAUGGGUAUUUUGCCCAUCCCUAUAUAUAUGUGUACAAAAGGGUCACAUUUUGAAGAGGAAAAAUCAACCAAAAUCCAAGAAUAACCCACAUGAGAAAACAUCUAUAUCAACAAAACCCAACAAUCAAAACAUGGAUUUUACACAACUCAACAACUUACAGCUGCCAUGCACUUAAUUAUGCCUAAAUUCCAACGAUUAAAUUACAAAAAAUAAGACAAAAUAUCUGGAAAUGACAGUCAGAUUAAAGCAUAAAUAAUGGGGAGAAGGAAGAGCAGAGAGAGAGGGAAUCACCUAAAGAGAUGGGGAGGACUACGUUUUGGGGUUUUUCCAAAACCCUCGGUUUGCCUCAGCUUCUUCGAUUCCAUGGGAGAACCUGAAGAGGUUUCCGCCUUCGCCUUCCGCUUGCAAGCCAUUUUGGGUAUGGCCCGCAGCUAGCUGGCUGGCUCCUUUGGGCCAGCCAGUUGGCUUGAUUCCUUUUUUUUGGUUCGGUGGGGCUUACGAGCUUUUUGGCCUUUUCCUGGGUUGAAAACGUUUUUCUUGUCAUUUUUUGUUAUUUUCGGCCCUCUUGCCGGAACGGUGUUGGAGAUAGUCUUAUUAUUCUCUCUCUGAUGCCAAAACAACGUUACACUCUCAGUCAACUG
rnacentral:lncRNA from 1 species